rnacentral:rRNA from 1 species
GUGGGGAAUAUUGCGCAAUGGGGGCAACCCUGACGCAGCAAUACCGCGUGAGUGAAGAAGGUUUUCGGAUCGUAAAGCUCUGUUAUUGGGGAAGAAAAAAGACGGUACCCAAGAAGAAAGUCCCGGCUAACUACGUGCCAGCAGCCGCGGUAAUACGUAGGGGACAAGCGUUGUCCGGAUUUACUGGGCGUAAAGGGCACGCAGGCGGUUUUUUAAGUCAGAUGUGAAAGGUACCGGCUCAAACGGUGACAUGCAUUUGAAACUGAAAGACUUGAGUAUUGGAGAGGCAAGUGGAAUUCCUAGUGUAGCGGUGAAAUGCGUAGAUAUUAGGAGGAACACCGGUGGCGAAGGCGGCUUGCUGGACAAAUACUGACGCUGAGGUGCGAAAGCGUGGGGAGCAAACAGGAUUAGAUACCCGUGUAGUCC